rnacentral:lncRNA from 1 species
ACCUUUCAUAAUUUAUUUUCUUUCCUUCUUUCAUCUUCUUCACUGCAACUCCAUCACCAUUUUCUUCACUGCAAUAGAGAUGCAAAAACGCCAUGAAUUUGGAAGUAAUCAUAAACAUCCAAUGUUGAAGAGUAUUACCAUAAAAUUCAUACAGCAGUUGACAUCCAAAUCCUUUGGAAAUAAGUUCUCAACGGCAACCUUAAAAUAUUUUCAAAAUUACAGAUGAAAGCCCCAAAACCCUACUGCAAUAUUUAUUGAUAAAAAAUAAACAGAGCUAGAAAUUCAUAAAUCAGGCAACCUCCAAAAAAAAAAACACCUUAAAAUCUCAAACUCAAAACAAGUAAUGAUUAACAAUUUAUGAAAUUAAAACCAUUUAAGUUCUCACCUUAACUGAGAACAGGGCAAUGAAUUCACUAAAAUAGAUAGGCUAGGAGAAAAGUUAAACUCUUUUCAACAAGGAUUGAAUUUUGUUGAAAAGAUUAAAAACACUUUGAAUGAUUGUGAAAAUUCCUCUAUAUUAUUGAAACUGAUAGUACAUUCUAUAUUUAUAAAGUCUUGACUAACUAACUAACUUUACAUAUAACUGACUCUAACCACCUUACUAACCUCUUUGCUUCUUAAUAUCUCAACACUCCCCCUCAAGUUGAGGGUUGGUAUAAAUCUUUAACCCCCAACUUGGACACUAAAUACUCAUGCUGUUUAACACCUAGGGCCUUUGUCAUCAAAUCAGCAAGUUGUUCAGUUGUUCCCACAUACUGCAUUUGAAUCAAUCCAUCUUUGAUUUUAUCUCGUACAAAAUGACAAUCGAUCUCUAUAUGCUUAGUUCGUUCAUGAAACACCGGAUUGGCUGCAAUCUGUAAAGCUGCCUUGCUGUCUGAAAAUACCACAGACUUAGUUGGUUGAUUAAGACUUAUUUCUUCUAACAAUCCAUUCAACAAAAUAACUUCUGCCACUACUACCGCCAUACUUCUGUAUUCAGCUUCUGCUGAUGAUCGAGAGACUGUGGUUUGUUUUUUUUUACUUCCACGAUAUAAGAGACUCUCCAAGUUUAACGCAGAAACCUGUCACUGAUCGCCUAGACAUAGGGCAUGAAGCCCAAUCGGAAUCACAAAAAGAAACCAUCUGCAGUUUGCUAGCUGCAGACAACAAAAUGCCUUGACCAGGGCUUUUCCUUAUGUACCCAGAUAGCAGCCUCCAAAUGCGAAUUUUUCGGUCUGUGCAUAAACUGACUUAAAUGUUGAACUGCAAACAUUAUAUCUGGUCGUGUAUUGGUCAGAUACAACAGCCUUCCCAAAAGCCUUUGAUAUAUCGAAACAUUUGGAAUUAAAUCAUCUUUUUCAGCCACUGUCGGCACAGACUCGUCAUAUUUGACCGAUGUAAGUUUUUGAUUCUACUCAAGUGGUGUACUUACUGAUUUCGCUUCUCCUAGACCCAGAUCAGCUAUCAACUCCAGGGCAUAUUUCUUUUGGUUCAAUACAACUCCUUCACUUGACCUCAUCACUUCUAUUCCCAGAAAAUACUUAAGCAUUCCUAAAUCCUUCAUCUUAAAACUCUGAUGCAGAAUCUGUUUUAGUUCAUUGAUCAUGUCAAUGUUGCUUCUUGUAAUUAACAAAUCGUCAACAUAGAUGAGCAAGAUAACUAUGUUACCCUCACUCCUUUUUGUGAACAAUGAAUAAUCAUAUUUGCUUUGUGCAUAGCCUCCCUGCGUUAGCGCCUCAGUGAGUUUUAAAUUCCAUUGUCGAGAAGCUUGCUUCAGGCCAUAUAGUGAUUUACGCAGCCGACAUACCCGAGAUUCCCCCUGGCUGCGAAAACUAUCUGGAAGGUCCAUAUAGACCUCUUCGAACAAAUUCCCUUGCAGAAACGAAUUAUACACAUCCAUCUGAAAAAGAGGCCAAUCAGAUGAUGCUGCCAAGCUAAUCACAGUUCUAACAGUGACAUGUUUCACCACAGGGAAAAAAGUCUCCUGAAAAUCUAUACUCGCUUGCUGAUUAUAGCCUUUCCCAACCAGUCGAGCUUUAAACCUUUCCAUCGAGCCAUCAGACUUAUAAUUGAUUUUAUAAACCCAUUUACACCCAAUGGGAACAACACCAGUAAGUAAAGAGACUACCUCCCAAGUACCAUUGUCCUCCAAAGCUCAAAUCUCCUGUUGCAUAGCAUUGACCCAUCUUGGAUCCGAAAUGGCCUCCGCAUAGGUUCGAGGUUCAAUCAAAGAAGAAAUAUGGGCUGCAAAGGACUGAGUAUGACUAGGCAAAUGGGAGGAUGAAUAAACAUGAGAAAUAGGAAACAUACCUGUAGUAUAAGACGCGGAAGACUGGUUAGAGCAGACAUAAUCUUUCAUCCAAGUAGGUGUUUUAACAGACCGUGUAGUGCGACGUAGGGAUGUAUUAGUAGGUAUGAUAGGAAUAGAAGGAUGGGAAGGGGAUACUGACUUACUAGAGGGAGAAAUAUUAAGAGAAGGUGAUGGCUCAAGGUGAAGAAAAAUAGAAUUAUCAGUGUCAGGAAAAGGUAAAAACUGUUGGGUAGGAAAAGCAAAAGGAAAUAUAGUCUCAUGAAAAACAACAUCACGAUUAACAAAACUUUUUUUCGAUUCAAGACUAAAGAAUAAGUAACCUUUCUGUACAGGUGAAUAACCCAUAAAAACAGAUGGAAUAGCCUUAGGAGAAAACUUAUCAUGAUAGUUAGGAACUGUAGCAUAAGCUAGGCAACCAAAAACUUUCAGCCGAGAAAAAUCAGGGGCAAUUUUAUGCAAGAGUUCAAAAGGGCAUUUCCAAUUUAAAACAGGAGUAGGUAAACAAUUAACUAAAAAACAAGCAGUAAGAAUGCAUUCACCCCAAAAUUUGCUAGGCAUGUGGGACUGGAAUUUUAAUGACAGGGCUACUUCCAGCAAAUGUCGAUGUUUUCGUUCCGUAAUUCCAAUUUAAAACAGGAGUAGGUAAACAAUUAACUAAAAAACAAGCAGUAAGAAUGCAUUCACCCCAAAAUUUGCUAGGCAUGUGGGACUGGAAUUUUAAUGACAGGGCUACUUUCAGCAAAUGUCGAUGUUUUCGUUUCGCAAUUCCAUUCUGUUGAGGAGUAUAAACACAGAAACUCUGAUGAAGAAUACCAUUCAUAUGAAAAAAUUUAUUGCACUCAUUUUUAAAAAAUUCAGUCCCAUUAUCACUACGAAUAGUCUUAAUUGUGGUGGAAAACUGAUUUUUUACUAAGACAGAAUUUUUUGAGAGAAAUAAGUGCAUCACUUUUAUUUCGUAACAAGUAAACCCAUGUCAUUCGGGUAUGAUCGUCAACAAUUGUGAGAAAAAACCGAUGACCACUAUGAGUAGAAACUCGAUAGGGUCCCCACAAGUCAAUAUGAACAAGAGAAAAAGCCUCACAGACACGAGUCAUAUGUACAGGAAAUGGAAGACUAGUUUGUUUAGCAAGCGGACAGACAGAGCAUUUUUUUAUACUAUUUAUAUCUGAAACUGUACAAGAAAGGUUAGGAACCUUAUUUAGUCUUGAAACUGAAGCAUGGCCAAAACGGGUAUGCCAAAGAAAUGACGAGUCAACAGAAGAAACAACUGCUACACUGGGUGAAUCCACACUAGUCUGUCGAGAUGGGUCGAGGAUUUAAAGACCACAUCAUGCUCUACCAAUCCCCCUCAUCUUUCCACUGGAGAGAUC